GGCACGUGUCGUUGGCUAA
rnacentral:siRNA from 1 species